ensembl:lncRNA
CCUGGGGAAAAAACUAUCAGGAGGAGUCCAAGUGAUUACCUGGCGAAGCUUAAAUACUAAUGGUUUCCAAACUGCGUGUGCAAAUAAUAACAUCUGAAGCCAUUCAUACCCUGCUUAAAAGAAGGUUGGAAGAAACAUCAGGAGUUGAUCUAGUCCAGCCCCCACUCAAAGCAGAUCGUACUAGUGUUGGAUGCUCAGAGCCUGUCCACUUGAAUUUUGGACACUUCUGAGGAUGGUCAUUCCACAGCCUGUCUGGAAAACUUUUGCCAGUGUUCGACUUCUUUCAUGACAACAACUUUACUUUUUUUUUUUUUUUUUUUUCCCAGAUAUCAAAUCAGAUUUUCCUGUGUUGAUCCUUGUCUCCAUUGCCUCUCAUUCUGUCACUGUACUCCAAAAAGAGUCAUCUUUAAGGCAUUCCAUAUAGCUUAAGAUUUCCCACCAAUUUUCUCUCUUCAAAGUGGAACAAGCUCAGUUCUCAUGUGUCGUGUGAACACAGACCUGUAAACUGGACUCUAGUUCUAGGAGGAUAAACCAGAGUCAGUUGUUUAUAAUGAUAUAAUAUUCUGUCAGUAAUGUUCCUUGCUGCUGCAUUUUGUACAAGUAGAAGGAAUCUUUUUGGAUGUAUAUUUUCAUUUGUAGAUUCAAAAUACAGAACAUUAGAGUAGCUACUAAUCUAUAUGAUUUCCAUCUUUGAGUGUGAAUUUUGGGCUAUAGCACACAAAUAUUCCUCCACCUCUACCCAAGUCUUGGGCCUAUUUUGUAAAUUUGGGUGGAGAGGAUUUUACACUGAACAGAAACAGAUUGGUACAGUACUUCAAGACCAAAUUUAAUUAAUAUGUUCAUAACUCAGAUCAGAUCUUGAAAUCUGCAAAAGCUGGAGAGGAGACAGUAGUGGUUCAUCCCUUUGGUUUAUUUCAUGUCUGUGGAAGAGCUGAAAAGGCACUUAUGACGAAACUUGUUCCAGUAGAGGCAGUUUGAGAGAUGGAAUAAAAACAAACAAAAAAAAGCAGGGAUGAUGUUGGUGGAAAUGAAGGCACUGAUAACAGCAAAUGUGAUCAAGAGUUAAGUAUAGGUGGUGUAGGUUGAACUGAAACUACUGCGUGAUGGACAAAUGAUCAUAGGAAUCACUGCAUACAGUGAGUCAAGGC